rnacentral:rRNA from 1 species
GAUGAACGCUGGCGGCGUGCCUAACACAUGCAAGUCGAGCGAAGCGGGGACGGGUGAGUAACACGUGGAUAACCUCCUAUAAGACUGGGAUAACUUCGGGAAACCGGAGCUAAAACGGAUACUUAGAGAUGGAUCCGCGGUGCAUUAGCUAGUUGGUACGGUAACGGCUUACCAAGGCAACGAUGCAUAGCCGACCUGAGAGGGUUAUCGGCCACACUGGGACCUAGACACGGCCCAGACUCCUACGGGAGGGAUCAGUAGGGAAUCUUCCGCAAUGGGCGAAAGCCUGACGGAGCAACGCCGCGUGAGUGAAGAAGGUCUUCGGAUUGUAAAACUCUGUUAUUAGGGAAGCGGUACCGAAUCAGAAAGCCACGGCUAAUUACGUGCCAGCAGCCGCGGUAAUAC